rnacentral:tRNA from 2 species
GGUCGCAUAGCUCAGCUGGGAGAGCACCUGCCUUACAAGCAGGGGGUCAUUGGUUCGAUCCCAAUUGUGACCA